UUCUAUGGUUAGUUUUGCAGGUUUGCAUCCAGCUGUGUGAUAUUCUGCUGUGCAAAUCCAUGCAAAACUGACUGUGGUG
rfam:Fukomys damarensis contig72771, whole genome shotgun sequence.